GCAUUUUAACUCUAUUUACCCCCAACUGUUUUAAUUUAACCUAUGGUUUUUUUUUUUUAAUUUUAAAUUAAUUAAUUGAUUAUUUUUUUUAGAUGCAGUUUAGGUCUUGUUGCCCAGGCUGGAGUGCAGUGGUGUGAUCUCGGCUCACUGCAACCUCCCUUUCCUGAGUUCAAGCGAUUCUCCUGCCUCAGCCUCCCAGGUAGCUGGGAUUAUAGGCACCGGCCCCCAUGCCUGGCUAAUUUUUUGUGUUUUUAGUAGAGACUGGGUUUCACCAUAUUGGCCAGGCUGGUCUCGAACUCCUGACCUCAGGUGAUCUGCCCACCUCGGCCUCCCAAAAUGCUGGGAUUACAGGCAUGAGUCACUGUGCCCAGCCAAUUUAUCUUAUGUUUAAUAGAGUUCAAUGUUCACUAUGAUUUCUUUCAUACAAAUGAUUUCCGCAUUUGUGAUUUAAUCUUUCAUUUGGCGUCAUUUUGGGGUCGAUUUAUUGCAGGUGUUUGAAAUCAGAAAACAAGUGAGGCUUAAUCAAGAUAGGAGUUUAUUUCUCUCUCCCAAAAGAAGUCUGGAAGCAGGCAGGCCCGGGCUGUGACUGGGCCUUCGUGAACUAAGUCCUAAAGAUCUAGACUGGUAGCCCUCUGGCCUCCUCAGAAGAAAGAGAGACGGAGGACAGGCUUCUCCCUGGGAAAAACUGCCCGGAAACCCCUCACAGCACUUCUUGGAUUCCUUUGGACAGAACUUGAUCAACAUGGCAACAGCUGAAUGAAAGGGAAUUUGGAAAGUGUCAUUUUAAGUCUGGCUGGCUCUGUGCCUUCCUCAUUUCAGAGUCCCGUCCCUGACGAAGCAGGAGACACAACCAGCAGACUCUGCCACAGUCUUCGCGUAUAUACCCCAUGUGACGCCUGUAUCCUCAGUCCUUGGAAAGCUAACUGGAAAAAAAGUACAAAAGAAAAGCAGAAAAACCCACAUCUAGAAGAGGACAAUAGCAGAAGCGUGUGGGAGGCAGCGAUGUGGGGCUCAAGAGGCGACAGGUUGACUACGGUGAGAAAUACUGGAAGAGGAGGUAUCGGAUGGUUUAAAAGGAAUAGAAAAUGACGAAGAGUCCAAGACGAAUUUCACUUGAUUGUUGAACACCGAGCGCUCCUGAGGGCUUGCACAUCUGGACGCUGAAUUAAAGGACUCCCAUGUCAACCAGUGGUAGUGAGUGAACCUGUCCUGUGUCCAUUGAGCUAGGGGGUACCACACAUGCCACAGUUUUCUUCUCUGCACAAUGACGAGUUAGGAUGGGUCACAAGAAAGGUUUCUCGUGAGGUUUGGAGGUAAAAGUGAAGUCUGGGUCUUAUACUUGUACAUGGAAGGAUCUGUGAAGGGCAUGAAGCUCUGUUGCAGCCCAAGCCCGUGGUGCUCAGCUCUUGGCUCACCUUGGGAUGAGCCAGCAGCCACUCUGGUCCUGAGCAUCUCCUUCUCCAGGGCCUUUGCCUCCUGCACUAGGUGUUUGUUUAGUUCCACGAGGAAGGAGCAGCUUCUGCAGCAGGCCACGGGCCUCCUCUGUUGGAGGCUCAAGCAGGUUCCUGUCGUUCUCUGAGGCUCCAGCUUGUCCUGAAGUUCUCAGUGUGUCCUUUGUCCUCAACUUUAUGUCCACUUCUCCUUGCUGCCAGCCUGUCCUGAUGACUUUAGGCUCCUGCCCCAGAUUUAAAAAGGUAGCCUCCUCACAUAGGCUGUUUAAUGAGCUCCUACAGUUGCUUGAGCUCCAAUCUCUACAACAAAUCCUCAGUCACAAUCCCCCCUAGUGGUUCUGCUUCAUCCAUCAAACCCCGAAUGAUAGAAGGAGCAUGAGUCAGCCCAGUCUCUGACCUUGCCCAAUCAUUUAGUGGUUUAGACACAGACAACAUUGGAUUUCCUGUGGCCACAUCAUGAGCUCAGGUCCUUCGUAUUUGUUGGCAGAGCAAAGGAAGUAGCAGAGUGAGGCUGUGAUAUAUUAUAAUCCAGCACUUUUAAACAUUUUGGUCUCAGAACACCUUGACACUCUUAAAGUCUGUUGAGGAUCUCAAUGAGAUUUUGUUUAAG
ensembl:lncRNA